GAAGAGGAGAAAAAAAAGGCAAAAUCAGUACAUUAAGAUGAUACAAAAACAAUUGAUGAUAGCAUUAUCAUAUCAUAUCAUUCAGAAGAUGCUUUUAUCCAAAAGUUACAUUAUAUUUACAGGGAUAAUCACAGGGAGGUAAAAUGAUGUGCAGACUGAUCAUAUUUAUAUUCCCUUUAAUCCAUUUGUCUUUCUAUGUUUUUUUUUCUUACACAGAAACAUAGAUGUUAUGACAUUCAUCCUUUUUAAGCAUGUACAAUUUUAGAUAGAUACAAUUAUUCCUAAACACCAGAAUAAAAUGCAAGUAUGGGGGGGCUUCAGUUGUUUCUGUUUUUGUGUAUAAUUUCUUUCCUUUUUUUAACAUAACAUUUUUGAAGACGGUGUGAAUUCUUUAAUUAUAUGACUUACCUGUGACUUGACAAUAAAGCUGAGCGUCAGAGCCUGGAGCUCGGUGUCAUUUCUUCCUGGAAAUGAGUCAGUGGGUUUACACCAUCUCAAAUGUAGCUGAUCAUCUGAAACAUACACUCCAUUCCAGUCUGUGUCUCGACAGGCAACAUAGUCACCAUCAAGGAGCACAAGAACGAUCCACACAAAAGGUGGAAUCAGGCAAAGAAACAACAUUUUUAAAGGUUGAAAUACAGAAGAUUUAAAUUUAAUCUGCUGUAAAAUAAUACACAUUGAAGCAAAAACUAAAAUAAAAGGGCCAGCAAAGAUGAGGUUUGUUAUUAUCGGAUUCAGUUUAGCAUCGCAUGGGCAUAUAAAAUCUUUAUCAAUCAAAGCCUCCAAAGGAAAUAAUAAAAUGAUCAUUGGAACAGAGAUGGCAAGAGCCAGUUUGUCCAGCUCUCUUUUACACUUUUCAAUUGUUAAAGGCAUGUUUUGAGGUCUACACAGUUCUCAACAGGUAAAUUUGAUGAUGCUUUGAAUGCUCCUCUGUUUUAUGGUCUCAGGAAAUGCUCGUAAUCUGGCAGAUCAGAUGCUCAGGAAAUUCUCAAGGCUGGACAGGUCCCCUACAGUCAAUAAAAAAAAUUUGUUUACACAUUGUGUUUUUUAAUAUUUAAAGAGUACAAACUAUACAUUUCUGCUUGUAUUUGUGUGUGUGUACCUAUAAAUUAUAUUCAUUCAAAAUUUAGAUUUCUAAAUUAGAUGCACGAAAAUACAACUUUCAAUAUAAAUAUACAGUAUUAAAUAUAGAAAUAUAUAAAAAGGAGACCAGGAUUUACUUUUGUAUAUGCUCUUCCUGUCUGCUGUGAUGUGUUGUUGAGUUUCAGUUUCUGCUCACAAAAAUGCUACAUGCAAUGACGGCUACAAUAAAACAUGCAUAACAGAGAGAGAGUAACAUUACAUUGUUUUUUAUUUUUUAUUUUUUUUAAAUAAAAGCUGUGUAUGUUUGUUCUUCAUGACUCAAAGAGCCACAAGUGGUAAACAUGCCUUUUAAAUGGUUAAUGAUCUCUUACUGUCAUUUUAUUUGACAUAUUUAUUGCAUAUUGUAGGCCAUUUACCUGUUUGUAGUGAGUCACAAGAGCUAUUAAUGUUCAUAUUUGCAAAUAUAAAUUCCAAUUAAUGAAAAAAAAAAGAAUAUAUAUAUAUAUAUAUAUAUAUAUAUA
ensembl:lncRNA